AGAAAUCAUUCACUAGCAAAUACACUAAGCAAAUAAAUUUUAAAAAAUGUUACCGAUUGGCUCCAAUCAGGUUCAAGCCACAACCACCUGCUUUGCUGCUGAGCAAAAAUACGAAAUCCGAACUGGCAGGGUCAUUGAAGCGUUCGACAAUCUGAAAAACAAGAUACGUUAAACGGACGCAUGGAUAGGUCCUCAUCCGACAAAGUUUUUCGAAUAGAUCAAGAGUUUGUGUGUAGUUCGAAAUCAGGACGAUCUUGUCAUUGGUGGUGCUUUUCACCAUGGCCAAUAUACAAUCGAGGACGCAAAGCUUUCCAGACAAUUCUGUUUGCAGCUUCCUAUUAAUUAAAAGAUUAAAACAUGCACUUUAAUCAAUAAAGAAAUACGAGGGGGGAAUUACAUACCGCGGAUCAAAGUUGACAGGAAAUAAUGGCAGAGUGUCUUCAAACCCGUCAACGCCCGAUUGGCACUUGUCAUAAAUCAGUUCUGGAUGGCUGCAGAGUUUCUUUAAAUUCGUGAUGGCAGCCAGAGCAGUCAUGCUCGUUUUACUCGGUUUUUCGUUGGUUUCUGUUUCAAUUGAACUUCAGCCAUUAAUGGGAUCUUCAGUCACGAAAUUCAAAUUGGGUACCUCUCAUUUUGCUCUUGAUAGCUUCUGACGUGACGAACUUUUUGUAUAUGGACGCUUGCACAGGACCGAGUUUAACGCAGACCACCAAUUCAAUUUUGACUGGUAGAUAUUUGGUUAAUAAUGCGGACGUUCGCCGAAUGAUGCAUUUAUUGACUAGAUCUGCUAGUUCUUUGAGUUUUCCUUGGCCCUGUUUCUGCGUCUCUUCCGUUGCAUCAGCGUCUCUGCCCCGCAAGAUGGGCGUCUCAAACCUUCUUUUGAACUCCUGUAACGUGAAGCAUUCGAUUUUGAUUUGCACGUGACAAUAGAUCUGUUCAAAGUUCUACUAACCUGAGCAGUCCCAAGAAUGCCUUGGUUAACAAAAUGUAACAAACUAAAAUACUCCAGCAAAUCAUUUUGAAUGGGCGUCCCGGACAGAAGAACACGGCGUUUGCAAUUCAACGCCACCAGAGCUUGGUACGUCUGGUUUUCACUGUUUUUCAAACGAUGCCCCUAGUCAGACGAAAGAAUAUGUUAUUUUAUUUAAACAUUAUAUUUGUGUCCAAUAAUUAUUUUUUAAUAAUAAUAAUAAUAAUUAUUAUUAUUAUUAUUUUUUACAAAUGAAAGAAUCCAAUCAGAGUAUAAUUAAUGUUUUCUAAGCAUACCUCAUCACAAAGAACAAGUCCAAUUUCUCCCUGGUGAAGUUCGUGCGCGUGAAGUCUGAAUGUUUCGUAGGAGAUUAUCAGAACUGGAUUGACGACUCGCCGACCAUGUGUAUGUAUGAACCCAUUCAAAUUGCGAUCGAUUUCAUCUUUACUUCCAGAGUCAAUAACCAGUGAAUUGAGUCGGCCACUAAGCCACUUCGAGAUCUCAUUUUGCCAAUUCUUGCAUAUUCAUACAACUGUUAAAGUCCACAGAGAUUCUAAGGGUAUUCAAGUGAUGUAAACAUACCUUGACCAAACUGCUGGGUGACACAAUUAUGCCUUUAGUAAUUAGUGGCUUGCAGUCUGGGCCUUGUUUGAGUAAAGUCCAAAGCAAAGUUAUACAUUGCAAAGUUUUUCCUAGACCCAUUUCAUCAGCCAUGAUACAACCAUAGUUGUUUUCGAUGCACUGACCUGUGACACAGUCAUACAUGAACUUCACACCCUAGCAUCAGAAAUCAGAAUGAGUAAGUUUAGACACAAAUUGCUAGAAAACUGAAGACUUACUUCACGUUGAUGAGGUCUUAAUACCUUAGUCAAAACUGGAUCUACAACAACAUGGACAGGGUGUUUAUCACUGAAAUGGAAUAUUUAUUAUUCCUUGAAGAUGACUAUUUCCCAUUAGAAAAUUUUCUGAUUUUUUGAUGAUGUAUACCUAAGGGAUGUUUUCAGUUUUUCAUGGGCAGAAAGUUCAGGAGGUGCAUACAAGAUCAAUGCGCCAGGCUCAUCUGGGUCAUGUAGAGCUUGCCGUAUUCCAGCUCGUCUUAAGCCAAGUGAUUUUCCAAGGGUUGGCCCAGUAUAAUUUGGUAUUGGAAUUUUAAAUGGCUUUGACAAGAUUUUUUUAAUUAGUUGUUCCUGUUAAGUUAUAAGAGUGUUAUAUAGUUUUAAUGCUUCACACACUGCUCCUGUGUUUUACAUGGAAUGUUGAUCCAGAUGUUUCUGAAUUGCUUUCAACAACUGCGAGACUGCAUUGUGUAAGAGGUUUCCGAUACGGCGAUAAAAACUCUGUAGCUCGAUCUAGCACUUGCGUUUUCUUAUUUUUGCCACUUUUCUUUUUUUCAGACCAAGCAGGGUCAUCAUCUUCAUCAUCGUAUUUUCGUUUUACUUGCCCCAACUGGCUUGGCGCCAGACUCCGUCUCUAACAUUUUCCCGUCACAUGUAGAAAAGAGAAAUUUACUUGUGUGGUUUUAAUAAAAUCAUUUUAUUUCAUAAAUACCAUUUUUAUGUGAGGGAAAUUUUUCGACUAUUUUUUCCCUUGUUGAUAUCGCGCCUUCAAAUUCCAAUACAAAUUACUUUGACUAUUGCACUCUGCAAACAAAGUUGUUCUAAAACUGAAAAAUAUCAAUGCAGCUGAGUGCUAAAAAAAUCGCAAACAUAAAACAUAAUUCACCAUUCUUUGAAAAAAAAUCUUAAUGCUCUAACAAUAUUUGUACGGAAAAAUGAACAAGUUAGAUAUAUUGAACGUUUGUUUAUUUUGAAAAAGACAUACAGAUCACGGCCGCAAAGGAGCUAAACCCAACUUCGCUCGUAAAGCAUUUGCUUCUGCAAUUUCAGGAUCAACCUCAGCAAUGCUACUCUUCUUGCUAUCCUUCUUCUUGUUGGAUUUUUCCCGAUCACCUCGUUUACUUCUUUCUCUUUCUGGUUCACGCUCCCUUUCCCGAUCUUUGCGGUCUCUGCGAUCCCUGUCUUGGUCUCUCCUGUGAUCACGAUUCCCUUGUUCAAUAGAGCGACUUCGUUGGCGUCGACUGCGAUUCCUGUCACGGCUGCGAUCCCGUUCACGGCUGCGAUCCCUGUCACGGCUGCGAUUCCUUUCUCUACUGCGGUUUCGUUCUCUACUGCGAUUCCUUUCCCGACUUCGGCUUCUGUCUCUUUGCCUUUCACGCUGUCUAUCUCUACUACGUUCUCGUUCACGUUCUUUGUCUCUGUUACGACGAGCACGCUCCCGUUCACGUUCACUGUCUUGUUUCGAACGAGAACUGGUGGGAGGAGGAGAUAAAGAAUCACCUUUCCUUUCACCUUCUUCUUCUUCACUUUCUGAAUCUUCAUCUUCCAAAUCUUCUUCCAAUGCUGAUACUCUCGGUUCAAUUUCGUUAGCUUCUUCCAGCACUUGGCGUUUCUGAAAAACAUAAUUCUUCCAGGAUAUUUCUGAGGUUAUUUAAUUUCCCAAAUUACCUGUAGCCUAGGCAAAAUAACAUCACAAAAACGCUCUUCUCUCAGUAGGCUGUCAAUAAAGUCAUCCAUGUACAGAAGUUCAAAAUCUAGAUCAAACAAAUGCAUCUUGCUUUUAAGAACUUACACAGAACUUUUUGCUUUAAUUAUUACUUCCUUCCUUGUUUUGAAACCGAAUUUUUCUGUAAUCAUUAUAAAGUGGUUCUAAAUAUUUAAAAAUUUCGACUGAAGUUCCAACAAGCCUCAUAUAGAAUGCUCCCAAUGCCCGAACAUACCUAAAACCAACAAUCAUGCUUUGUAAAAUUCUCUUCUUACGUUAUAUCAGUGACAGUCAAUAUAGAUAGAGAUUUGAAUCAAUAA